UACAGAGGAUGCAAGCGUUAUCCGGAAUGAUUGGGCGUAAAGCGUCUGUAGGUGGCUUUUUAAGUCCGCCGUCAAAUCCCGGGGCUCAACCCCGGGCCUGCAUCCGAUACUCCCGGGCUGGAGGCAGGUAGGGGAGAUCGGAAUUCCUGGUGUAGCGGUGAAAUGCGCAGAUAUCAGGAGGAACACCGGUGGCGAAGGCGGAUCUCUGGGCCUUGCCUGACGCUGAGGCGCGAAAGCUAGGGGAGCGAACAGG
rnacentral:rRNA from 1 species